rnacentral:rRNA from 1 species
UACGUAGGGUGCAAGCGUUGUCCGGAAUUAUUGGGCGUAAAGAGCUCGUAGGCGGUUUGUCGCGUCUGCUGUGAAAACUCGGAGCUCAACUCCGAGCCUGCUUCCGAUACGGGCAGACUAGAGGUAGGCAGGGGAGAGCGGAACUCCCGGUGUAGCGGUGAAAUGCGCAGAUAUCGGGAAGAACACCUAUGGCGAAGGCAGCUCUCUGGGACGGUACUGACGCUGAGACGCGAAAGCGUGGGGAGCAAACAGG